CGUUGUGGAAGAGUCAAGCAUGGUUUCCGGAAUUAUUGGCUCUCACGCAGGACCAUCCAUUACUUCUUCCAUCGGUCCCCUUCCUUCUGACAGAUCCGAAAGGGGAACCACAUCCACUAGUGGUACAGGAGAAUCUGGAGCUGGUAGCCUGGAGUCUUUCAGGGGAGCCUGGUCCGUCGAGGUACUAUCGCAACCAGCUAAAGAC